CAGGGUGUGGCGCAGCCUGGUUUAGCGCGUGUGUCUGGGGGGCACAAGGUCGGAGGUUCAAAUCCUCUCACCCUGA
rnacentral:tRNA from 1 species